rnacentral:rRNA from 1 species
UGGGGAAUAUUGCACAAUGGGGGAAACCCUGAUGCAGCGACGCCGCGUGAGCGAAGAAGUAUUUCGGUAUGUAAAGCUCUAUCAGCAGGGAAGAAAAUGACGGUACCUGACUAAGAAGCCCCGGCUAACUACGUGCCAGCAGCCGCGGUAAUACGUAGGGGGCAAGCGUUAUCCGGAUUUACUGGGUGUAAAGGGAGCGUAGACGGAUGUGCAAGUCUGAAGUGAAAGCCCGGGGCUCAACCCCGGGACUGCUUUGGAAACUGUGUAUCUAGAGUGCCGGAGAGGUAAGCGGAAUUCCCAGUGUAGCGGUGAAAUGCGUAGAUAUUGGGAGGAACACCAGUGGCGAAGGCGGCUUACUGGACGGUAACUGACGUUGAGGCUCGAAAGCGUGGGGAGCAAACAG